rnacentral:rRNA from 1 species
AUUAGCAGCCAUAUCACCCUGCAACUCACAACUGGCAUCCCACUGAAGCAGGAGUGAGCCUGGUUGGUACCUGGAUGGGAGACCUCCUGGGAAAAACUAAGGUUGCUGCUGGAA